ACCACCGUGGCGAAGUGGCUGAACGCGCCCGUCUUAAAAUCGGGUAUGCUCCGAGGGAGCUCGAUCGCGGGUUCGAAUCCCGCCGGUGGUA
rnacentral:tRNA from 1 species